AAAGGGAAUCUCUGUUUUAUGCUUCAUAGCUUUUUCUUGUGUGAUGCUCUUCUACAUCUCCAAGAUCUAGAAUUGGACUUGAAAGGACCCGAACCCAGUUAGGCCGGAUAUGGGUACUGUAGGACCUGACCCUAACCCAUUGAUAGUGCCCUGGACUACAGUUUCAGGCAGUUCCACAUCUUGCAAUUUUAUUUUUAUUUUUUUUGAAGUUCAAAAAAGCUUUGAAGGUGGUUUUUCGUUCUAUAAUUUCAGUAGCAGGAAAAAUCAACAAUUGAUUAUUUUUAUUUUAUUUUAUUUAUAAAGGGCAUUGCUCUUGUUAGAAAUGCUAUUAUGGAUCCUCAUUCAGAAUUUCUGUUGGUUUGCUACUCUACACAAAUGGGCCUCAUAUUGGAGAAGUGGACUCAUUGCAAUUUGAUUUGGGUAAAAUCAGAGCUGCCACUAAUAACUUCUCAGAUUCAAAUAAGCUUGGACAAGGUGGAUUUGGUGCCGUUUACAAGUUAUACUUUGUUCAGGUGGAACGUAUGAUGUUUUGUCCUGACCAGAACUGUAAGAUCCAUAUACACCAUGUCUAUCAAACAUGCAAAACCAACGGGAUUUGAUCAAUUGUGCCUAAACUUAGGCCCACAAGCACAAAAGUCUUUUGACACCAGCGAGGAGCGAACCACAUGACUAAUUGUUGUAAAUAUUAUAUA